GGUGGCAUAGUAGUUAAGCAUUUGGCUGCUAACCAAAAGGUCGGCAGUUCAAAUCUACUUC
rnacentral:tRNA from 1 species